UCCUUCAGUGGUGGCAGUAGCCAUCUCACUCCUCCUUCAUACCCAGAGGCUGAUCUGACCCUCUUUGGAAUUUCUACAGCUUCCAAAUCAGCAACACCCCAGCCGUCUGGAUACUCCUGGCAUGAGCCUGUAGAAGCCAGUUCAGCUGGAGCAGAGGAUGGCCACAGGAGGAGGUGACAGCUUAGAUAAAGUGAUUAUGAAAUGAGGGUGUUAAAUCCAACACCUGUGGAGAGACUGCCAAGGAGAGGACUCAACUGCUGAGAAAGACAAAGUCUGAGAGAGAUGCUCAACCUCGCAAAUGGACCUACAGUUCAACAGAGUUCUUUCCUGAAUGAAAAAACGUCUUAUGGAGAAAUUUAGAUACAGGCAAGGCCUCAAAAACUUGAGAUGUGGAAUAGUAGUUCUUGUAGCAACUCUGA